rnacentral:tRNA from 1 species
GGGAUAGCUCAGUUGGUAGAGCACAGGACUGAAAAUCCCCAUCUCACCAGUUCAAAUCUGGU